rnacentral:sRNA from 1 species
GGUGUGGGUGGAUCCGGGGCAGGCUCAGGACCAAGUCCCUCUCCUUCCACCAAGAAGCGCCCAGAGGCCGGCGGGAGCUCCAGGUUCACCUCCUCCUCCUCCAGGAAAACCCACUUCCAACUGGAUGUCUGGAUGAACUACUGAAAGCUGCUGAGUGUCCUGCAGCAG